rnacentral:hammerhead_ribozyme from 1 species
AUUCAGCUGACGAGUCCCAAAUAGGACGAAACGAGUACAUUUUCUUACAU